rnacentral:tRNA from 1 species
GGCCUAGUGAUCUAGAGGUUUGAUACUCACUUUGGGUGCGAGUGGUCCCGGGUUUGAAUCCCGGCUGGGUCC